rnacentral:rRNA from 1 species
UUCCGGAGCUAACGCGUUAAGUCGACCGCCUGGGGAGUACGGCCGCAAGGUUAAAACUCAAAUGAAUUGACGGGGGCCCGCACAAGCGGUGGAGCAUGUGGUUUAAUUCGAUGCAACGCGAAGAACCUUACCUACUCUUGACAUCCACAGAACUUAGCAGAGAUGCUUUGGUGCCUUCGGGAACUGUGAGACAGGUGCUGCAUGGCUGUCGUCAGCUCGUGUUGUGAAAUGUUGGGUUAAGUCCCGCAACGAGCGCAACCCUUAUCCUUUGUUGCCAGCGAUUCGGUCGGGAACUCAAAGGAGACUGCCAGUGAUAAACUGGAGGAAGGUGGGGAUGACGUCAAGUCAUCAUGGCCCUUACGAGUAGGGCUACACACGUGCUACAAUGGCAUAUACAAAGAGAAGCGACCUCGCGAGAGCAAGCGGACCUCAUAAAGUAUGUCGUAGUCCGGAUUGGAGUCUGCAACUCGACUCCAUGAAGUCGGAAUCGCUAGUAAUCGUGGAUCAGAAUGCCACGGUGAAUACGUUCCCGGGCCUUGUACACACCGCCCGUCACACCAUGGGAGUGGGUUGCAAAAGAAGU